AUUGAACGCUGGCGGCAGGCUUAACACAUGCAAGUCGAGCGGGGUGAUGGUGCUUGCACUAUCACUUAGCGGCGGACGGGUGAGUAAUGCUUAGGAAUCUGCCUAUUAGUGGGGGACAACAUUCCGAAAGGAAUGCUAAUACCGCAUACGCCCUACGGGGGAAAGCAGGGGAUCUUCGGACCUUGCGCUAAUAGAUGAGCCUAAGUCGGAUUAGCUAGUUGGUGGGGUAAAGGCCUACCAAGGCGACGAUCUGUAGCGGGUCUGAGAGGAUGAUCCGCCACACUGGGACUGAGACAAGGCCCAGACUCCUACGGGAGGCAGCAGUGGGGAAUAUUGGACAAUGGGCGGAAGCCUGAUCCAGCCAUGCCGCGUGUGUGAAGAAGGCCUUUUGGUUGUAAAGCACUUUAAGCGAGGAGGAGGCUACUUAGAUUAAUACUCUGGGAUAGUGGACGUUACUCGCAGAAUAAGCACCGGCUAACUCUGUGCCAGCCGCCGCCGUAA
rnacentral:rRNA from 1 species